UCCAUUGUUUUGAGGUGGUUAAUUUGGGAUUAUAUGAGAUCAAAAUAUUUAAAUGUAUGAUUCAGAAUCAAAUUCAUCACUUAAAAAUUUCGAGUGCAUUUUUUUUAUUUGUCAAAUUCUCAGUCAUGAAUCACAUAAAAUGUCUAAUGCGAUUAAAUCUCAAUUUGGUCUAAUUUGGCCAAAUCGAAAGAUUCGACUUUGGAUAAAAUCAAAGAGCUCGAUUAUUUUUCGAACAUCCCAUUGUUCUUCCAAUAAAAGGACGAUCAAAAGAAUAUUAAUCGAUAACCCGAUUAAUUUUCUUUUGUCUCCUCAUUAUAGGAGAAUCAAGAGAACACAUUUUUUUUUAUCUCCUUUGAAAAUACAAGACAACAAAGAUAGAUAAUUCUUCUUUGUCUCUUUUACAUUCAUGGGACAACUAAGGUGGGAAAAUUCUUUCCUUGCCUCCCUUUUUGUAACAAAGCUCCCUCUCUCUUUCAUAAAUAGAGAAGUAAUUUCUUUCU
rnacentral:lncRNA from 1 species